CUCUGAUGUUCAUUCAGGGCUGUUAGACUACUAUGUUUAAUUCUGCUGCAACAGAACUCAAAAAAAAGCCCUUUUUUUCUCAGCUGCUCUUUCUGAAGGGUUUGGGGCUUUAUUUUUGAGUGUCUGCCGGGUUGUCCUGCCCAGCUAGGAGGCAGUCUUGUCCUGCCGAAGCCCCGCCCUGCUGGUGUGAGGUCCGCGCUGUUUCUGCAGGCUCCGCCCUGCAGCCGCAGGCUCCGCCCUGUGGCAGAGUCUCUCUGUUGUACCGGGUUGCCUCGGCAACGGCAGGCUGCAUCAGCAAUGGGCGUCUACCUCAGUAGGGGCUGAUUGCCUCGGUAAUGGUGGACACCCCUCCCGCACGGAGCUGCGCCUUAAGUGCAUUAGGUCAUUGCUUGGUGUCCACUGCCUGCAGCAGAAGGGCUCAUCAUUGUGUUCCCCGUGCUCACUCCCAACCAGUCCUGCUGUUUCGGCUCCAAGCAGAGAGGAGGAGGCCCUGCCUGUCUCCAUGACAACCAUGUGUCGUCCAGGAAGCUGCUCAGAGCUAAAGACCUUCUGAGGCGGGGGAGGGGCCGUUUCUGAGAAAAAACUCACCUCGUUUCUCCUCUUUGCAGCGCAAUUUGCUAAAUUGUGUCUCUUUUAUUGUGUUUUUAUAUAAGACUAUUUACACAAAAGUCACACACCCCAAACCUUAUUUCAUGAACAUAAAAGCCACAUCACAAGAAUUUUUCUAGCAUCUCGCACAUAAUUUCACACACCCCUCUCCUUUUUGUGUUAACUUUAACUUUGUCUCUAGUUCUUCAUUAUUACCCUAGAAUGCUUUAAAUAUUAAUGAACAUUCAAAAGCCAAACACUCCCUGGCAAUAUUGUUAGCAUACAUUAUGAAUACUUGAAAGGAAACACUUUUUGCUUUGCUUUGUGCUUAAAUUUACUAGUAUAAUUUAAAACUGUAGCAUUAAAAAUGUCUUACCAUUAGACGACAUUAGACGUAUGUUAUAUGUAUUAUAAAAAACUAAAUAUAUCAAAUUAAUUCACUAGAGGGUGAGCAAUUGAUUUAUAAUUGUCACAAAUCCUUAACAAUAUUUUACACAUACACAUAUUUUUGAAAAAUAAGCUUUGCUUCUAUAGCCACCCAGUGGGUUCUUUUUGCUUGCUGCAGAGAUAGACCUGAGUUUUCCAGACAGGGGAAUGGCAACAGAGAAAGUAUUGAAUACAAGUCAAGCUGGCUAAAUGGGAGGCGGGAGUUUAUUAAGACUCAAAUCAGUUUCCCCCCAAAUUCUGAG
rnacentral:lncRNA from 13 species